rnacentral:tRNA from 16 species
GCCCCGAUGGUGAAAUUGGUAGACACAUCGCACUUAAAAUGCGCCGCCGAAAGGUGUGCCGGUUCGAGUCCGGCUCGGGGCACCA